rnacentral:rRNA from 1 species
GCCUACGGGAGGCAGCAGUGGGGGAUAUUGGCCAAUGGGGGGAACCCUGAUCCAGCGACGCCGCGUGAGUGAAGAAGUAUUUCGGUAUGUAAAGCUCUGUCAGCAGGGAAGAAAGAAAUGACGGUACCUGACCAAGAAGCCCCGGCUAACUACGUGCCAGCAGCCGCGGUAAUACGUAGGGGGCAAGCGUUAUCCGGAAUUACUGGGUGUAAAGGGAGCGUAGACGGUUAAGUAAGUCUGGAGUGAAAGGCCGGGGCCCAACCCCGGGACUGCUGUGGAAACUAU